rnacentral:rRNA from 1 species
GACGAACGCUGGCGGCGUGCUUAACACAUGCAAGUCGAACGGAAAGGCCCUGCUUUUGUGGGGUGCUCGAGUGGCGAACGGGUGAGUAACACGUGAGUAACCUGCCCUUGACUUUGGGAUAACUUCAGGAAACUGGGGCUAAUACCGGAUAGGAGCUCCUGCUGCAUGGUGGGGGUUGGAAAGUUUCGGCGGUUGGGGAUGGACUCGCGGCUUAUCAGCUUGUUGGUGGGGUAGUGGCUUACCAAGGCUUUGACGGGUAGCCGGCCUGAGAGGGUGACCGGCCACAUUGGGACUGAGAUACGGCCCAGACUCCUACGGGAGGCAGCAGUGGGGAAUAGUGCACAAUGGGCGGAAGCCUGAUGCAGCAACGCCGCGUGCGGGAUGACGGCCUUCGGGUUGUAAACCGCUUUCGCCUGUGACGAAGCGUGAGUGACGGAAAUGGGUAAAGAAGCACCGGCUAACUACGUG